rnacentral:rRNA from 1 species
AGAGUUUGAUCAUGGCUCAGAUUGAACGCUGGCGGCAGGCCUAACACAUGCAAGUCGAACGGUAACAGGAAGCAGCUUGCUGCUUCGCUGACGAGUGGCGGACGGGUGAGUAAUGUCUGGGAAACUGCCUGAUGGAGGGGGAUAACUACUGGAAACGGUGGCUAAUACCGCAUAACGUCGCAAGACCAAAGAGGGGGACCUUCGGGCCUCUUGCCAUCAGAUGUGCCCAGAUGGGAUUAGCUAGUUGGUGAGGUAACGGCUCACCAAGGCGACGAUCCCUAGCUGGUCUGAGAGGAUGACCAGCCACACUGGAACUGAGACACGGUCCAGACUCCUACGGGAGGCAGCAGUGGGGAAUAUUGCACAAUGGGCGCAAGCCUGAUGCAGCCAUGCCGCGUGUAUGAAGAAGGCCUUCGGGUUGUAAAGUACUUUCAGCGGGGAGGAAGGUGUUGUGGUUAAUAACCGCAGCAAUUGACGUUACCCGCAGAAGAAGCACCGGCUAACUCCGUGCCAGCAGCCGCGGUAAUACGGAGGGUGCAAGCGUUAAUCGGAAUUACUGGGCGUAAAGCGCACGCAGGCGGUCUGUCAAGUCGGAUGUGAAAUCCCCGGGCUCAACCUGGGAACUGCAUUCGAAACUGGCAGGCUUGAGUCUUGUAGAGGGGGGUAGAAUUCCAGGUGUAGCGGUGAAAUGCGUAGAGAUCUGGAGGAAUACCGGUGGCGAAAGCGGCCCCCUGGACAAAGACUGACGCUCAGGUGCGAAAGCGUGGGGAGCAAGCAGGAUUAGAUACCCUGGUAGUCCACGCCGUAAACGAUGUCUACUUGGAGGUUGUGCCCUUGAGGCGUGGCUUCCGGAGCUAACGCGUUAAGUAGACCGCCUGGGGAGUACGGCCGCAAGGUUAAAACUCAAAUGAAUUGACGGGGGCCCCGCACAAGCGGUGGAGCAUGUGGUUUAAUUCGAUGCAACGCGAAGAACCUUGCCUGGUCUUGACAUCCACAGAACUUUCCAGAGAUGGAUUGGUGCCUUCGGGAACUGUGAGACAGGUGCUGCAUGGCUGUCGUCAGCUCGUGUUGUGAAAUGUUGGGUUAAGUCCCGCAACGAGCGCAACCCUUAUCCUUUGUUGCCAGCGAUUAGGUCGGGAACUCAAAGGAGACUGCCAGUGAUAAACUGGAGGAAGGUGGGGAUGACGUCAAGUCAUCAUGGCCCUUACGACCAGGGCUACACACGUGCUACAAUGGCGCAUACAAAGAGAAGCGACCUCGCGAGAGCAAGCGGACCUCAUAAAGUGCGUCGUAGUCCGGAUUGGAGUCUGCAACUCGACUCCAUGAAGUCGGAAUCGCUAGUAAUCGUGGAUCAGAAUGCCACGGUGAAUACGUUCCCGGGCCUUGUACACACCGCCCGUCACACCAUGGGAGUGGGUUGCAAAAGAAGUAGGUAGCUUAACCUUCGGGAGGGCGCUUACCACUUUGUGAUUCAUGACUGGGGUGAAGUCGUAACAAGGUAACCGUAGGGGAACCUGCGGUUGGAUCACCU